rnacentral:rRNA from 1 species
UAGGGAAUCUUCCACAAUGGACGCAAGUCUGAUGGAGCAACGCCGCGUGAGUGAAGAUGGUUUUCGGAUCGUAAAGCUCUGUUGUUGGUGAAGAAGGAUAGAGGCAGUAACUGGUCUUUAUUUGACGGUAAUCAACCAGAAAGUCACGGCUAACUACGUGCCAGCAGCCGCGGUAAUACGUAGGUGGCAAGCGUUGUCCGGAUUUAUUGGGCGUAAAGCGAGCGCAGGCGGAAUGAUAAGUCUGAUGUGAAAGCCCACGGCUCAACCGUGGAACUGCAUCGGAAACUGUCAUUCUUGAGUGCAGAAGAGGAGAGUGGAAUUCCAUGUGUAGCGGUGGAAUGCGUAGAUAUAUGGAAGAACACCAGUGGCGAAGGCGGCUCUCUGGUCUGCAACUGACGCUGAGGCUCGAAAGCAUGGGUAGCGAACAGG